UACAGAGGUCUCAAGCGUUGUUCGGAUUCAUUGGGCGUAAAGGGUGCGUAGGCGGUUGUGUAAGUCAGAGGUGAAAUUCCGGGGCUCAACCUCGGAACUGCCUUUGAUACUGCUCAACUCGAGUACUGGAGAGGAGACUGGAAUUCACGGUGUAGCAGUGAAAUGCGUAGAUAUCGUGAGGAAGACCAGUGGCGAAGGCGAGUCUCUGGACAGUUACUGACGCUGAGGCACGAAGGCUAGGGGAGCGAACGGG
rnacentral:misc_RNA from 1 species